GACAGAGGCCUCGAGCGUUAGGCGGAAUCACUGGGCUUAAAGCGUGUGUAGGCGGAUUCUUAAGUACCUUGUGAAAUCCCACGGCUCAACCGUGGAACUGCUCGGUAUACUGGGAGUCUUGAGCCAUCCAGGGGUUACCGGAACAAACGGUGGAGCGGUGAAAUGCGUAGAUAUCGGAAGGAACACCAGUGGCGAAGGCGGCAUCCUGGACCGAGAUUGACGCCGUGAUGCGGCGAAAGCCAGGGGAGCAAACGGG
rnacentral:rRNA from 1 species